GGCCUGAUGGUCUAGUAGUAUGAUUCGCCCUUAGGGAAAGCGCAAGCUUGAAAUCUGGGCGAGGUCCCGGGUUCAAUUCCCGGUCAGGCCC